GUGAGGAAUAUUGCGCAAUGGAGGCAACUCUGACGCAGCCAUGCCGCGUGCAGGAAGAAGGCGCUACGCGUUGUAAACUGCUUUUAACCGGGAAGAAACCCCAGGACGUGUCCUGGGUUGACGGUACCGGAGGAAUAAGCACCGGCUAACUUCGUGCCAGCAGCCGCGGUAAUACGAAGGGUGCAAGCGUUAUCCGGAUUCAUUGGGUUUAAAUGGUGCGUAGGCGGAGCGUUAAGUCAGUGGUGAAAUCCUGCAGCUUAACUGUAGACUUGCCAUUGAUACUGGCGCUCUUGAGUGCGCUUGAAGUGGGCGGAAUGUGCCGUGUAGCGGUGAAAUGCUUAGAUAUGGCACAGAACACCAAUUGCGAAGGCAGCUCACUAAGGCGAUACUGACGCUGAGGCACGAAAGCGUGGGGAUCGAACAGGAUUAGAAACCCGUGUAGUCC
rnacentral:rRNA from 1 species